AGGACGAGUGGUUGACAAGUAUCGUAGUCGUUUGGACCCUGAAGUUGUUGAGGCUUUGAUCUGUACCAAAGAUUGGAUAAGAGCCUCUAGAAAAGAUAAUAAAUGUGAUGUAGCUUCAAUAAUACAAGAUUUAGCUAUCAUUGAUAUUGCUGGAGAAGGCGAGCAAGGCGAGAACAAUGAAGAUGAUGGUGCUUCUAUCCCUACAGAUGAUCACAACGCCUUGGAGAUAGUUUGAUGCAGGCUGGAGAAAUAUUCAUGCCAUCUAUU